rnacentral:rRNA from 1 species
ACGCUGGCGGCGUGCCUAAUACAUGCAAGUAGAACGCUGAAGGAGGAGCUUGCUCUUCUGGAUGAGUUGCGAACGGGUGAGUAACGCGUAGGUAACCUGCCUGGUAGCGGGGGAUAACUAUUGGAAACGAUAGCUAAUACCGCAUAAUAGUAGAUGUUGCAUGACAUUUACUUAAAAGGUGCAAUUGCAUCACUACCAGAUGGACCUGCGUUGUAUUAGCUAGUUGGUGGGGUAACGGCUCACCAAGGCGACGAUACAUAGCCGACCUGAGAGGGUGAUCGGCCACACUGGGACUGAGACGCGGCCCAGACUCCUACGGGAGGCAGCUGUAGGGAAUCUUCGGCAAUGGACGGAAGUCUGACCGAGCAACGCCGCGUGAGUGAAGAAGGUUUUCGGAUCGUAAAGCUCUGUUGUAAGAGAAGAACGAGUGUGAGAGUGGAAAGUUCACACUGUGACGGUAUCUUACCAGAAAGGGACGGCUAACUACGUGCCAGCAGCCGCGGUAAUACGUAGGUCCCGAGCGUUGUCCGGAUUUAUUGGGCGUAAAGCGAGCGCAGGCGGUUAGAUAAGUCUGAAAUUAAAGGCUGUGGCUUAACCAUAGUACGCUUUGGAAACUGUUUAACUUGAGUGCAAGAGGGGAGAGUGGAAUUCCAUGUGUAGCGGUGAAAUGCGUAGAUAUAUGGAGGAACACCGGUGGCGAAAGCGGCUCUCUGGCUUGUAACUGACGCUGAGGCUCGAAAGCGUGGGGAGCAAACAGGAUUAGAUACCCUGGUAGUCCACGCCGUAAACGAUGAGUGCUAGGUGUUAGACCCUUUCCGGGGUUUAGUGCCGCAGCUAACGCAUUAAGCACUCCGCCUGGGGAGUACGACCGCAAGGUUGAAACUCAAAGGAAUUGACGGGGGCCCGCACAAGCGGU